rnacentral:rRNA from 1 species
GAUGAACGCUGGCGGCGUGCCUAAUACAUGCAAGUCGAGCGAAUGAUGAGGAGCUUGCUCCUCUGAUUUAGCGGCGGACGGGUGAGUAACACGUGGGUAAUCUGCCUGUAAGACGGGGAUAACUCCGGGAAACCGGGGCUAAUACCGGAUAAUAAGAAGAAACGCAUGUUUCUUUUUUGAAAGUCGGUUUCGGCUGACACUUACAGAUGAGCCCGCGGCGCAUUAGCCAGUUGGUGAGGUAACGGCUCACCAAGGCGACGAUGCGUAGCCGACCUGAGAGGGUGAUCGGCCACACUGGGACUGAGACACGGCCCAGACUCCUACGGGAGGCAGCAGUAGGGAAUCUUCGGCAAUGGGCGAAAGCCUGACCGAGCAACGCCGCGUGAGCGAUGAAGGCCUUCGGGUCGUAAAGCUCUGUUGUUAGAGAAGAACAAGUACGAGAGUAACUGCUCGUACCUUGACGGUACCUAACCAGAAAGCCACGGCUAACUACGUGCCAGCCGCCGCAGUAAAAC